GAUGAACGCUGGCGGCGUGCCUAAUACAUGCAAGUCGAGCGAAUGGAUUAAGAGCUUGCUCUUAUGAAGUUAGCGGCGGACGGGUGAGUAACACGUGGGUAACCUGCCCAUAAUACUGGGAUAACUCCGGGAAACCGGGGCUAAUACCGGAUAACAUUUUGAACCGCAUGGUUCGAAAUUGAAAGGCGGCUUCGGCUGUCACUUAUGGAUGGACCCGCGUCGCAUUAGCUAGUUGGUGAGGUAACGGCUCACCAAGGCAACGAUGCGUAGCCGACCUGAGAGGGUGAUCGGCCACACUGGGACUGAGACAUGGCCCAGACUCCUACGGGAGGCAGCAGUAGGGAAUCUUCCGCAAUGGACGAAAGUCUGACGGAGCAACGCCGCGUGAGUGAUGAAGGCUUUCGGGUCGUAAAACUCUGUUGUUAGGGAAGAACAAGUGCUAGUUGAAUAAGCUGGCACCUUGACGGUACCUAACCAGAAAGCCACGGCUAACUACGUGCCAGCCGCCGCCGUAA
rnacentral:rRNA from 1 species